GAUUAACGCUAGCGGCAGGCCUAAUACAUGCAAGUCGAACGGGAUUUCGGGUAGCAAUAUCUGAAUGAGAGUGGCGCACGGGUGCGUAACACGUAUGCAAUCUGCCUCUGACUGGGGAAUAGCCUUCCGAAAGGAAGAUUAACACCGCAUAAAAUAAUGAAGUGGCAUCACUUUAUUAUCAAAACUCCGGUGGUCAGAGAUGAGCAUGCGUCCGAUAGCUAGUUGGUGAGGUAACGGCUCACCAAGGCUUCGACGGGUAGCCGGCCUGAGAGGGUGACCGGCCACACUGGGACGGAGACACGGCCCAGACUCCUACGGGAGGCAGCAGUGGGGAAUAUUGGACAAUGGGCGGAAGCCUGAUCCAGCAACGCCGCGUGAGGGAUGACGGCCUUCGGGUUGUAAACCUCUUUCAGCACCGACGAAGCGCAAGUGACGGUAGGUGCAGAAGAAGGACCGGCCAACUACGUGCCAGCAGCCGCGGUAAAAC
rnacentral:rRNA from 1 species